AUUACGUACAGAUGAAAUUGAGUACUUGCCUGUCAAAUUUUGAAGGAAAAAUCAAAGGCUUGAUGCAAAGAUUACUAAGUUGCAGAUUCUGUAUCAGUUAGAAGUAACACUGAAGUUCUCCAACAAUGUAUAAUUGUGUGAUCUGUGCUGCUCAAAGGAUGGAUCCUUGGAGUACUGACAGAAAGAGAGAGAAGAUCAAGGCUUGGCAGUGACCGUAACAUGCUGCUACACAGCAGGCAAACAUUGGAGUUGAGCAGCUGCACCAAGGCGGGUUGAGCUGCCUUUUUCCUUUAUGCUCUUGUUUUGACUUGUGUUAAUCACCCAUUGUCCUAGGUGGGAGAGCUAAAUUAAAGGUCAGGGUGAUCGAAUAGAGCUCCCAUUCAAUUAGAGGAGGCAGGUCACUUCAAACUCCACUGCACAAGGAGGUGAUAAGUAGGAAUUAGAAGUAUACCUGGAGAGGUGUGUCAUUUAGAAGUUGGUACCAAUAGCCUAAUUUUAACUGAAACUAAAUGAAAAUACCCUGUAGUCUUCCCAAAGGUUCAACAUCUGCCAGCACUGAAAAAUGGAGGUCUCUGAAAUUCUUCUUUUGCCAUGAACUUACAGCACUAAUUUUCAGAAGUAUAAGUGUAGCACAAUGGGAGAAUCAAAGAAGAUGGGAACAAAUGGAAAAAAAAAAAAUCACCUUGAACACUUCCUGUGCAUUGUUUUAGGAUAAUCUGCUGCAUGUUCAUGACAUACUGUCAAAUUAGAUGGCCAUUUCAUAAAUAUUUUUAGGCAUAGAGAGAAAUUUUACUCUGUAGAAUUUUCAGCCUUUUGUGUGUGCUGGGAUCUUCCCCAGUGAGAGGUAUCAAUAAGAAUCAUUCACUUGCCUGUAUUUAUGUACAUUUCCUACCAAAUAAAAACUAACAGGUUUCACAGGUUUUAGAAGAAUGGCCGUUCUCAUAAGAUUUCAAGCUAAAUUUCCCUGGGUGUAGAGGUUUUGAAUAAACUUUGCAUGUGAAUCCAAAGUGACAUAUACUGUGAUCCACAGGCUUUGCCAGGCAUUCUUCAUUAUUCAUUAGCUUUCACUAAACAAUGUGGGAUCUGUGGACAGUAGCAUACCUUGUCUUCUAGGCAGGUGGGGGAAGGGUACACUUUGACCCAUAAGCUACUGAGUUAUGUCAACACUUGAGUUAAAUCAGUAGUUACACCCUUCAUGGAAACUUAUGGACCACAUCUUAUGCACUCUGGUGAUUUCCCUCAGGCUUUUUGUUUGAUAGAGAUACUAAAAAAUCCCUCUGUGGUGUAUGGAGUACACCUUUCCUUGAUAGAACAACACAGAAUGAAGAAUAAAGGGUUAGUAUCAUAUCUGUGUCUAAGUUAAUUUCUCUUGAUGUGAUAUCAAAGUACUAGGGCAAUCAACAACAUGUGAUUUGAAAACAGAAAAUUGAAAUCAUCAGUUCUCCAAAGACCAACAAUGCAAUUGUUCCAGGGAUAAAAGGGUUGCAGAUAAAUUGGAAAUGUCACUCUCCAACCACAGGUAGAAAUGUCAUAGUUAUUUGGGCAUAAACCCAUCCUCUUCCUGUGGCAUAAUGUAAUUUUUGAGGCUUCUAGGCUCCUACACUGACAUGUUCUCUAUUCGCAAUACAUUGUGCGGGGAUGGAUUGCUGUGCUUUGAGUGUGAGGAGUGGACAUCUUUGAUCAAAGCAAGUACUGACAAACUGUAUGUGAAUUAAUGAAAAGGAUGAAAAAGAGACAGAUCUGGAGCUGUUUUCCAGUGAUUUUAAUUUAAAUAUUUUCUGUUUAUAAAAAUGUCUUUAUCUAUGUUCUUUUUUUUUUUCCAUUGAGAAUAACCAUGCAACAUGACCAAAAAGUCAUGAUCUGACUUUGAAUAUGAUGGAAUUCUUUCUACAGCAAAGCAAAUAGCAGCAUUUCUGUAGCUCUAUGUAGAGCAGCAUUUCUGUAGCUCCAUGACUUAGAGCUACAGAAGUUCUAAGUCAUGGAGGAGGCAAAAUAAUUGUCAUUUGCCAGAAGAGUUCCCAAAUAUUCUGCAAUAUAUAUUUUUCAAAGCUAUCACCUGAAGAAUUAUCCUCAAAUAAACUUGAACUUAUGGGCACGA